rnacentral:rRNA from 1 species
UACGGAGGGUGCAAGCGUUAUCCGGAUUCACUGGGUUUAAAGGGUGCGUAGGCGGGCAGGUAAGUCCGUGGUGAAAUCUCUGAGCUUAACUCAGAAACUGCCAUGGAUACUAUUUGUCUUGAAUGUUGUGGAGGUAAGCGGAAUAUGUCAUGUAGCGGUGAAAUGCUUAGAUAUGACAUAGAACACCAAUUGCGAAGGCAGCUUACUACACAAAUAUUGACGCUGAGGCACGAAAAGCGUGGGGAGCGAACAGG